rnacentral:rRNA from 1 species
AGCAGCCGCGGUAAUUCCAGCUCCAAUAGCGUAUAUUAAAGUUGUUGCAGUUAAAAAGCUCGUAGUUGAACUUCGGGAUUUACCCAUUGGUCAGGCUUAAUUGUCUGUACUGGUGAGAUAAAUCUCUACCUUCUGAGGAACUUUCAUGCCAUUUAUUUGGUGUGGUUGGAAAUCAGGACUAUUACUUUGAAAAAAUUAGAGUGUUUAAAGCAGGCUAACGUCUGAAUAUAUUAGCAUGGAAUAAUGAAAUAGGACGGCUUGGUUCUAUUUCGUUGGUUUCUAGGAUCACCGUAAUGAUUAAUAGGGAUAGUUGGGGGCAUUAGUAUUCAAUUGUCAGAGGUGAAAUUCUUGGAUUUAUUGAAGACUAACUACUGCGAAAGCAUUUGCCAAGGAUGUUUUCNUUAAUCAAGAACGAAAGUUAAGGGGAUCGAAGACGAUCAGAUACCGUCGUAGUCUUAACCAUAAACUAUGCCGACUAGGGAUCGGACGAAGUUAAUUUUAAUAAUGAACGCGUUCGGCA